CAACCCAAUAUAACACCAACCUACUAGCUACUACUUUCUAUUCAUUCAAGCAUUAUGGUUUAUGCUAAGCUAUCUCUUUUGCCUCUCUUCCUGAUCACCACAUUAGUAAUAAUAUUUCCGACGAAGAAGGUAGAAGCAGAUUGUGACAAGCUUUGUAGUUUUCAAGAGUCAGAAUGUGGUGAUGGUUGCUUAUGUUUAAUCGGGAUUGAUUAUUGCUUAAGCAUAUCAUUAGUUAUGAAGAUGGUGAAAAAACAUCCUAAAUUAUGUGAGUCUCAUGCAGACUGCACAAGAAAGGGAAGUGGGAGCUUCUGUGCUUAUUAUCCAAAUUCGGAUAUUAAAUAUGGCGUGUGUUUUGACUCUAGCUCUCAUGCAGAAGCCUCAUUCAAGAAUGCUCUUAGCUCUGAAUUCUCAAACUUGUUGAAGAUGCCCUCAGCAGUUUCCAUUUAAUAUGUACAUAAAAAACCAUCCAUGCAUGCAUGCAUGAUCUCUCUAUCUACUUAAAUAAAAUUGUUUCAUAUGUCUUUGUUUCCAAUUAUGUUUGGAUUUCUUAGACAUUUUGAGUUCAGAAAUAAUAUAUGCAUCUGUGUGGGGUAUGUACUUCUAUGUUAUUAGUAUGUACUUCUAUGUUACUAGUUGAAAUAAUAUAGGGUUAAUUAUGUCAGGGGUCCCUACAAAAACGCGACCCUGCACUUUUAGUCCCUGUAAAAAUUUUCUUAGUAAAAUGGUCCCUAUAAAAGUUGGCGUUACGUAAUGUUGUCCCUCCCGUUAGUUUUCACUAACGGAGGGUGACGUGGCUGGCCAGCUGUACGUUUUCAUUUGACACGUUGGAGUCCCAUUAUAAUUAUUCAGAAAACCCUAAUUGUUCCAUCUCAUUGCCUUAUUCUCCCCUCUCACCCAUUUAUCGUCUUCUUCCUCUUCAUUGUUCCAAGCAAUAUUGUUCUUCAUCUUUCUGCUUCGUCUUCUUCAGCUUCGCGUGAAAUCCAUGGCGUCUUCUUCAAAUAGAGGGAACUCGAUUUCAGCAGUUCAUUCCACAAGUGUGAGCAAUCGUAGAUGGAGAAUGUGUGCCUGCAAUGUUCGUAUGACAUCGUAUCGCUGCAAGAACGGCCGUAAUAGAGGAAGACUUUUCUGGAGGUGUCCCUUUUGGCAAAGCGAUGAAACGUGCAACCUCUUCGAAUGGGAUGAUGAUAUGGAACCAGGGCAUAACAUAACGGAGAGUUUAAAUGAAGAAUGGACAAAUGACCCAACUAAGUCAAGAGAGAUGCAAUCUGUUGAAGCCUUGAAGGAGUUAUAUGAGUCAGCAAUGAAGAAGAAUGUUGAAUUGCAGAUUCAACAUAAGGCAGAGGGAUUUUAUGGAAAGAUGAAGACAAUUUGCUUAGCAAUUUUGUUCAUGGUUAAUUUGUAUUUGUUACUAAAAUGUAAAUGUUAAGGAUCUUGUGUUAAGGGUUAAAUGUAUUUGUUCAUGUGCAAUUUUAAGUUUAGCAAAACUUGGGUAAUGUGUAAUGUUCAAUUUUAAGUUUUCUGUAAUGUACAAUUUGAAGUUUCUGAAAUUGAAUGCAAUUUUGUGGA